GGGGCAGCACCGGGUUCGAUUGCAGGUGCGGGGGGAGGUAAGCACGCCGAGGAACGAAUGGCCUCGUAAAAACAUUCGGCUUAAAUUUAAAUGCAGACAAUGCAAACUACAAUGCGAACGCUCAGUUCGCAUACGCUGCUUAAUUAACUAAGCGCUCGUCCGCCCUCUGUCCCGCCGCAGAGGUCGCGGGCGUCAAUUCAGGCGGGGCACGGCCGCGGCGAGGUGAAGUCGGCGCCGCGGCGGAAUUAAGAUUUCUGCUGACGUGUCUUUUCGGUCGCAGAGGGGCACGUAGUAAGAAAAUUGCGGCAUAAGCGUGUAGAAAGCCUUUCGACAAUCCUGUAAGACGCGAGUUCAAUUCUCGCCUGCUCCACCA
rnacentral:tmRNA from 1 species